ACGAACGCUGGCGGCGCGCCUAACACAUGCAAGUCGAACGAGCGAGAGAGAGCUUGCUUUCUUGAGCGAGUGGCGAACGGGUGAGUAACGCGUGAGGAACCUGCCUCAAAGAGGGGGACAACAGUUGGAAACGACUGCUAAUACCGCAUAAGCCCACGACCCGGCAUCGGGUUGAGGGAAAAGGAGCAAUCCGCUUUGAGAUGGCCUCGCGUCCGAUUAGCUAGUUGGUGAGGUAAUGGCCCACCAAGGCGACGAUCGGUAGCCGGACUGAGAGGUUGAACGGCCACAUUGGGACUGAGACACGGCCCAGACUCCUACGGGAGGCAGCAGUGGGGAAUAUUGCACAAUGGGGGAAACCCUGAUGCAGCGACGCCGCGUGGAGGAAGAAGGUCUUCGGAUUGUAAACUCCUGUUGUUGAGGAAGAUAAUGACGGUACUCAACAAGGAAGUGACGGCUAACUUCGUGCCAGCCGCCGCAGUAA
rnacentral:rRNA from 1 species